rnacentral:rRNA from 1 species
UAGGAGGCUUGAGGUUCAUAUGGUUGAGUGCUA